UACUCCUUUUAUUAAUUUAUCUUUUGGGGAGUUUUACAAUUUAGUUUUUGAAAUUGUGAAUUUGUGCCCAUGCAUUGGUAGUUUGGUUUUUAGGUGGAAUUGAAAAAAUUUCUACUUUAAAGGGCAUUGUCUCUAUAAAUGAACAAAUGCCAUGGCAGGUUGCAUGAAAGUGGACACAAGCUAAUACAUUUAGAGCCUGCCGCACCUUACAUUGAGGUGACCUCAUUGUGAAACAAGCGAUGCUACUAAUCCCCUGCUUGGUGGAUUCUUAAAUUCAAUAAACUCUGAAGGAAUGUUGGGUCAGUAGCUACCAAGUGCGUUGUCCAUGAAAAUGUAUGAAGGAAUGAAACACCAUCAAUCAAUGGAUUCAAAGCCAUCUCAAGCAUUGUUUUACCUGAAACAAUGAAGGUUAUAUACUGAGUUAAAAGAAUUUAGCACAUGAUAGAAAGUUUGUGUGUACAGAUUUGGUGACUAUGUUUGUACUUAUUCAAAUUGCUAAAGGAAGGCUUUUCAAGGUACAUUUUGUGUGUGAAAGUAUUUGAUGUAAUACUGAGCCAUCGUUGAAGAAUUUAAUUUAAUUGAAAUGAAAAAUGGCCGCACUAACAGAGUCAUUGUGGAA